rnacentral:rRNA from 1 species
AUGCCACCCGAUCAACAAGUGUUGAAGUGGACGCCCCCCGAGAUCAACCUAAGCAAGGAAGAUUCCCGCUCAUCUGACAUGGAUUCCAAGCGCGUGGGUGGUGGCACUUCUUCGUCCACGAAAGAAGGGGCUGAGGCGACAAUUCAUAAUGAUAUGCCAUCCACAGGUGAGACUCUUGGCACAACAGCUCCAGCUUCUGGUGCUCCAGAGGUUGCUAAGGUGACCGUUACGCGAGCUGGUCUUCCACCUAGGCGUCAUAGGCCCCGCAAGCAAUCUGCAAAUAUACCCAACGCGCCGGCUGUAGCUAGGAGCAGCAGAGAUGACUCUGGUUAUGUGCCUGCGUCCACACUGUUCCCACCAUAUGCCAGAAGCAAUGUUAUGGAGAGAACGGAAGACCGGAGUACAACCGACCCAGGUGGCAAGGCGGGCACGACUGACGGAGGUGAACGUGCGGAGCAGACUACAUCUUUACCUGCCGUGGUUAACCCCAGCUUAGAUCUGCGCACUUCGCCGCUCCCAGUCAACAUCGGUGUCCCCUACAGCCCAAACAAGAAGAUUGUCAAAAAAGCUGCGACUGAUACCGCUGACAGCACGCCCCGCCCUACGAAUAAGCCCGAUGAUUCUGCAGCCGCUGAUGCAGAAAUGUUUGUUGAUCUUACACCCUUGGAUUCUGCCCAGCAAGUUGUUCACGGUCCGGCCAGUAGGCAGGAGAGGCACCCAAUGGCCUUCACCCCACCGAGCUGUAGCCUUGGCAUCGAUCGCAGUCAAGAUGAACCAGUGGUGCAAGAUCCUUCACCACUUGCCUUUGCUUUCUCGGCAGGCAUGGCCCCAAUGAUGGCGCAACCAACGGUCGAGGGCAAGAAGGCUGUGAAGUUCGCAGAGCCGAUUGUGCAAGGUACAUUUCUUAUGCGUUUAUCAUUUCCAUGUAUACAUCUUUUUAGUCUGACUUUUGUCCCAAGCAUUUUUUUUGGGUUCUCACUUGUGAUGGCAAAUGUUAUCUGA